UAGGGAAUCUUCCGCAAUGGACGAAAGUCUGACGGAGCAACGCCGCGUGAGUGAUGAAGGUUUUCGGAUCGUAAAACUCUGUUGUUAGGGAAGAACAAGUAUCGGAGUAACUGCCGGUACCUUGACGGUACCUAGCCAGAAAGCCACGGCUAACUACGUGCCAGCAGCCGCGGUAAUACGUAGGUGGCAAGCGUUGUCCGGAAUUAUUGGGCGUAAAGCGCGCGCAGGUGGUUCCUUAAGUCUGAUGUGAAAGCCCACGGCUCAACCGUGGAGGGUCAUUGGAAACUGGGGAACUUGAGUGCAGAAGAGGAAAGUGGAAUUCCAAGUGUAGCGGUGAAAUGCGUAGAGAUUUGGAGGAACACCAGUGGCGAAGGCGACUUUCUGGUCUGUAACUGACACUGAGGCGCGAAAGCGUGGGGAGCGAACAGG
rnacentral:rRNA from 1 species